GUAGCAGGGCUGCACUUGGGGUCAGGGAAGACCUUCUCGACCAGUAACAUGUAAGCUGAGGGACAAGUUACAGCUGGAUGAAAAUUAUUUCAGGCAGAGGAUACCUCCUCAAAAACCAAGGGAUGAAAUAGAACACAAAUACAGUGAGGUAUUACAAGACAUUUGAAAUGGAUAGAGCACAGUAAAUGAGGGGUGAAAAGGAUGUGACAGCUCAGGCUGUAGUCACAGGAAGAAACAACGUUUGGGGCUUUUGCUUCUUGUGCAAGACCAUUCCAGCAGCAGUGUGGAGAAGAGUGUCAGCACGAACAGAGACCUGGAGACCAGCUAGGAGGCUGCUGCCAGCUUUUCAGAGAGAGCUUAAUAAGGGCCAUUUUUGUACCAUUACUUAAGAGAAAGUGGCUGAAUGGUGAGUGCUCUGAAUAGGACAACCAUGAAGAUUAAGGAAUGUGAAAGCAUGUCAUCCAUUGCAACAUGUUUGAGCACAAAGCAUGGGCAAGGCACUCUGCUAGGUGAUGAAGACAUCAUGAACAAGACAGACCCAGUUCAGUCCUCAAGAAAUCAUAUGUGGAUCACUUUAAAGAAAGUGGGGCCUGGAGAAGAGGCAGGUUGCUCCCUCUUGAUGGCAAACACGGCUGCCAGGGUCCAGAGUUCUCACCUUUAGUCAAUCUUAGAUGGAAAAGAACUUCUCCUUCCUCACAGUCACCAGAAUGGAUCUAAUUAACUCGACUGGGUGAAGAGGCUAUUUUUGAACCAAUCACCAACCAAGUAUUUAGACUGUAUCAUUAGCCAGGUCUGGGUCAUGGACAUGUAAUCAGGGCAGGUGAUGAGGUUAUGGGAUUAGAGCUCUUUUACCAACAUAAUUCUAUUACAUUAUGUUUUAAUGCUCACUGAGUAAUCUGUAAGCAUUAAAUCACAGUAAUCACUAAGCCACCUGUAAAUAAAUUCUCAUGUUUUCUUGUCUUGUGCCCUAACUCCACUGUGGUAAGGAUAUCGUCUUAAACACAAAGAAAAAAUGCACAUAAAUGUAGGACGACUAUUGUCAAGCUAAUAUCCACUCAGUACAACCAAUCAUUACAGUUGGGGAGAUAAUAUAGCUUCUCACACGUGAGACUAAGGAUCAGAAUUGGCUAUUAGUUCUGAGAGUACCUAAGACGUUAAGAAAAAAAGAGAUUGAAGCAGACCAUAAAUUAAGAGAAUAUCACUGUACAUCUCAAUGAUUUACAAACUUUGAGUCAUGAUUUAUUUUGGGGCCGUGAAAUCAAUUUAGAGAAUCAUGACAAAUUUAAGAAAAGGAAAUAGAGUAGAAAACAGGAAAGUGCAGCACAUAUGGUGAAAUUAAGAACUGUUUCAUAAAACUUUGGUUACAGUUUAUGUGUGGGCAUGCACAUGCACGGGCAUGCUCUGAGUCACAAGGUAAAAUAUAUUUGACCACAGUUGGAGUUAGUUGAAAUCACUCUCAUCAUUGGUAUAAUUGUAGCUAGUACCUAAAAUGUGAAAGAGGAAAGUCCAUUUAACAUAAUCUGCCCCGAGUAUGAGUCACCACUGUAUGAGCACCUCCUCAACAUUCAAGUCGCAUGAAGCCUGAGAGGGUCAAUGACUUGCAUUGUGCUGGAAUCACCUGGUUUAGAUUUACAACAAUUCUUACCAGGUUUGGAAUAAAUCUCACAGAUCUCCAUGUGUUUUCAUUGCCGGUUUGCUAAAUGUCCUUGGUAAAAUAUUGGAGUUGCCAAGGAACACUGGUCAAGGUAUGUCACCUUACCAUCAAAAUAAACACAAUUUUUAUUUCUCAACUAGGAGUAGUGUCCAGAUACGUGAAAAAUUCAAGCAAAUUUUGAACUGGCUGAAAUGUCUUUAUUAAAUGUUUUACACAUUGUCUAAUAUCAAAUUAUGUUCUCUCUGAUCAUUUCUUUCAGCGACUUGUUGAUUUAAUGUGAAUACACAGAAAUGGAGUAUAGCUCUUAUGGACCCUGAAGGGAUCAAGCUGUCUAAACAGACCCCUUUCUACCUCAUCAGUGCAUUUAUGCCAGCUCCCUAGGAGGCCUCUCAUAAUCAUCAUUUCCCUCUCCCACUCUAAUAAGCAUCUAUUUUUUUUCAAUCUGUUGCAAACUUCUACAUACACAAGCACAUUAUCCCAUCUCACCACCAGCUUCGCACUUAAAAUUGCCUCCCCUUCCCCAUACAAAACUUUGUAGCUGCCUCUUUCUUAUUUCUUCAUAAUCCUGGUAACUCACUGGAGAACCAGAUCUGCCUUUCUGCAGUUUCUGGCACCCUUCAAAAUACCUUUCAGAUAAUAAAUAAAGUUGAAAUGGGUCAAUGCUCCUUUCCACCAUCUGCUCAAGGAAUGAUUUCCAAAU